rnacentral:rRNA from 1 species
CAGCAGCCGCGGGAAUACGAAGGGGGCUAGCGUUGUUCGGAUUUACCGGGCGUAAAGGGCGCGUUGGCGGACUGAUAAGUCAGGGGUGAAAUCCCAAGGCUCAACCUUGGAACUGCCUUUGAUACUGUUUGUCUUGAGUUCGAGAGAGGUAAGUGGAACUGCGAGUGUAGAGGUGAAAUUCGUAGAUAUUCGCAAGAACACCAGUGGCGAAGGCGGCUUACUGGCUCGAAACUGACGCUGAGGCGCGAAAGCGUGGGGAGCAAACAGGAUUAGAUACCCCCGUAGUCCCUGUCUCUUAUAC